rnacentral:rRNA from 1 species
GACGAACGCUGGCGGCGUGCUUAACACAUGCAAGUCGAACGGAAAGGCCCUGCUUUUGUGGGGUGCUCGAGUGGCGAACGGGUGAGUAACACGUGAGUAACCUGUCCUUGACUUUGGGAUAACUUCAGGAAACUGGGGCUAAUACCGGAUAGGAGCUCCUGCUGCAUGGUGGGGGUUGGAAAGUUUCGGCGGUUGGGGAUGGACUCGCGGCUUAUCAGCUUGUUGGUGGGGUAGUGGCUUACCAAGGCUUUGACGGGUAGCCGACCUGAGAGGGUGACCGGCCACAUUGGGACUGAGAUACGACCCAGACUCCUACGGGAGGCAGCAGUGGAGAAUAUUGCACAAUGGGCGGAAGCCUGGUGCAGCAACGCCGCGUGCGGGAUGACGGCCUUCGGGUUGUAAACCGCUUUCGCCUGUGACGAAGCGUGAGUGACGGUAAUGGGUAAAGAAGCACCGGCUAACUACGUG